UACGUAGGGGACGAGCGUUGUCCGGAUUCAUUGGGCGUAAAGCGCGCGUAGGCGGACCUGCAAGUCGGGGGUGAAAGCCCGAGGCUCAACCUCGGAACUGCCUUCGAUACUGCGGGUCUCGAGUCCGGGAGAGGUGAGUGGAAUUCCUAGUGUGGAGGUGAGAUUCGUAGAUAUUAGGAAGAACACCAGUGGCGAAGGCGGCUCACUGGCCCGGUACUGACGCUGAGGCGCGAAAGCGUGGGGAGCAAACAGG
rnacentral:rRNA from 1 species